rnacentral:rRNA from 1 species
AUGAAAAGCAGCGGAAUCAUACAUGUAUGCAGAUUCCAGAUCCUACGUCACGGACAUAUUUCUAGGGAGGAGAACGACCCCCACAGGCCGCCGCAGGCGAGGCCAUCAGGGAGUAACGGCGGCGGCGAGCGGGGCCUCCGCCGUCAGGCACUCGCAGCACUCGGGGCGGUAGGAGCAGCACGCGGGAACUCCGGGCACAGCCCUGCCAUGCACCUUCGCCGACGCGGCCAUCAUCAAGAACAGGCAGACCUGCACGAGGAGGAAAACCAGGAAGGCACGGAGGUGACCCAUCGCCAUGGUCUCGGUUGUUGUUUUGCUAGCACAAAUAGCAACACGAGAAGGAGAGGGAGGUAUUUCCUCCUGGAGAGAUGCUUUUCUUCUGUCACACUGGGUCUUCAGACUUUCAGGGAUCUCUUUAUAUAG